rnacentral:tmRNA from 2 species
GGGGCUGAUUCUGGAUUCGACGGGAUUUGCGAAACCCAAGGUGCAUGCCGAGGGGCGGUUGGCCUCGUAAAAAGCCGCAAAAAAUAGUCGCAAACGACGAAAACUACGCUUUAGCAGCUUAAUAACCUGCUUAGAGCCCUCUCUCCCUAGCCUCCGCUCUUAGGACGGGGAUCAAGAGAGGUCAAACCCAAAAGAGAUCGCGUGGAAGCCCUGCCUAGGGUUGAAGCGUUAAAACUUAAUCAGGCUAGUUUGUUAGUGGCGUGUCCGUCCGCAGCUGGCAAGCGAAUGUAAAGACUGACUAAGCAUGUAGUACCGAGGACGUAGGAAUUUCGGACGCGGGUUCAACUCCCGCCAGCUCCACCA